CUACAGGCUUAACACAUGCAAGUCGAGGGGCAGCAUGGUCUUAGCUUGCUAAGGCCGAUGGCGACCGGCGCACGGGUGAGUAACACGUAUCCAACCUGCCGUCUACUCUUGGACAGCCUUCUGAAAGGAAGAUUAAUACAAGAUGGCAUCAUGAGUCCGCAUGUUCACAUGAUUAAAGGUAUUCCGGUAGACGAUGGGGAUGCGUUCCAUUAGAUAGUAGGCGGGGUAACGGCCCACCUAGUCUUCGAUGGAUAGGGGUUCUGAGAGGAAGGUCCCCCACAUUGGAACUGAGACACGGUCCAAACUCCUACGGGAGGCAGCAGUGAGGAAUAUUGGUCAAUGGGCGAGAGCCUGAACCAGCCAAGUAGCGUGAAGGAUGACUGCCCUAUGGGUUGUAAACUUCUUUUAUAAAGGAAUAAAGUCGGGUAUGCAUACCCGUUUGCAUGUACUUUAUGAAUAAGGAUCGGCUAACUCCGUGCCAGCAGCCGCGGUAAUACGGAGGAUCCGAGCGUUAUCCGGAUUUAUUGGGUUUAAAGGGAGCGUAGAUGGAUGUUUAAGUCAGUUGUGAAAGUUUGCGGCUCAACCGUAAAAUUGCAGUUGAUACUGGAUAUCUUAAGUGCAGUUGAGGCAGGCGGAAUUCGUGGUGUAGCGGUGAAAUGCUUAGAUAUCACGAAGAACUCCGAUUGCGAAGGCAGCCUGCUAAGCUGCAACUGACAUUGAGGCUCGAAAGUGUGGGUAUCAAACAGGAUUAGAUACCCUGGUAGUCCACACGGUAAACGAUGAAUACUCGCUGUUUGCGAUAUACAGCAAGCGGCCAAGCGAAAGCGUUAAGUAUUCCACCUGGGGAGUACGCCGGCAACGGUGAAACUCAAAGGAAUUGACGGGGGCCCGCACAAGCGGAGGAACAUGUGGUUUAAUUCGAUGAUACGCGAGGAACCUUACCCGGGCUUAAAUUGCAGAUGAAUUACGGUGAAAGCCGUAAGCCGCAAGGCAUCUGUGAAGGUGCUGCAUGGUUGUCGUCAGCUCGUGCCGUGAGGUGUCGGCUUAAGUGCCAUAACGAGCGCAACCCUUGUUGUCAGUUACUAACAGGUUCCGCUGAGGACUCUGACAAGACUGCCAUCGUAAGAUGUGAGGAAGGUGGGGAUGACGUCAAAUCAGCACGGCCCUUACGUCCGGGGCUACACACGUGUUACAAUGGGGGGUACAGAGGGCCGCUACCACGCGAGUGGAUGCCAAUCCCAAAAACCUCUCUCAGUUCGGACUGGAGUCUGCAACCCGACUCCACGAAGCUGGAUUCGCUAGUAAUCGCGCAUCAGCCACGGCGCGGUGAAUACGUUCCCGGGCCUUGUACACACCGCCCGUCAAGCCAUGGGAGCCGGGGGUACCUGAAGUGCGUAACCGCGAGGAGCGCCCUAGGGUAAAACUGGUGACUGGGGCUAAGUAA
rnacentral:rRNA from 1 species